GCAACCCAAUAAAUGGAGAACUGGGCUGCCAAGUUUAGAAUGAGACCAAGAGCAAGAUUGACUUGAUGCUGUGUUGGUAAAAUUAGGCACCAUGGGUCCCCAAGUGACCCUCACCUUUCUAAGAUUAAGAGCAGGUCUGCCCUCUAGAACCUGAAGUGGAACUGCACUUAGAAAUGUGCACCAAGUGUGCUGGACCUCCUGGGACUGGUGGAUUUAAGGACAGAAUCAACAAGGGCAUUGAAGAGACUUGCUUCCACCAGAAUGAGUGUGAACAUGUGACCCAGACUGGCCAAUCAGAUUACCUCAUCCCUCUAAGGUUGUUCAAGCAUGGGCACAAGAUUCAGUGAAUUCUCUUAUAAAGAAACAAAUCAGAGCAAAAUAAGAGCAGGACAAAGAACUCUGUUUGCAGGAACGCUCUGAGCGUUGGCUUCUUCGGCAUGAACGCCAUUUCCACGUGUGCUGAACUGCUCUUGUCGAAGUCACACAGAAUAAUAUACGGGAUGGUGCCAUUUUCGAACUAACAGUCUACAAAAAUUUGUCUACGUGAUCUGCCAUCUCUGGCAGUUUUAGAAAGAAAAACACUAACACCUGGGAAGAGUAUGGACAGCAUACUUUGGCUUCUUCAAAAGCAGCCCUCAGCAAAGGGAUGGAGACCCUGUUCCCUGUUUGGUAUAGAUGUGAGUGAGUGUGCAUCAUUAAGAUGAACCUGCUGAACCGCCAGAAUCCUGAUGGUGAUGAGAAGGUGCUGCCUUCUAAGAGGUCCAGAUGUCUUGAAAACCAGAAAAGAUCCAAAUUUGAAAUGAUGGAGAUGCAAAAUGCAAGGCCCUCAAGAUCACAGGAAUGGCAGAACCUGGACAUCAUCAAGGGUGCCAGACGAUGCCCAGUAACCCAGCAGUGUCUUUGAGGACUAUACAAGAAGAUACUUUGUCACUGAUGGAAGCACCUGCCUCAGGCUCACUGGAACAAAAUCUGUGGCUUCUCUUGUUUGAUCUAAUUCCCGCUGAUCUUUCUGGUGUCUUCUGGUGCUGUUUGUACACCUUUGGCUCCUUAGGAUUCAGAAUCACCCUCAACACUGGAAAGCCUACAGCUAGCG
rnacentral:lncRNA from 1 species